GACGAACGCUGGCGGCGUGCUUAACACAUGCAAGUCGAACGGUGAAGCGCCUUCCUUUUUGGUGGGUGUGGAUGAGUGGCGAACGGGUGAGUAACACGUGAGUAACCUGCCCCCUUCUUCUGGAUAACCGCAUGAAAGUGUGGCUAAUACGGGAUAUUCUGGUUCUGUCGCAUGAUGGGUCUGGGAAAGAUAUUGUUUCGGUGGGGGAUGGGCUCGCGGCCUAUCAGCUUGUUGGUGGGGUGAUGGCCUACCAAGGCGGUGACGGGUAGCCGGCCUGAGAGGGUGGACGGUCACACUGGGACUGGGACACGGCGCAGACUCCGACGGGAGGCAGCAGUGGGGAAUAUUGCACAAUGGGCGCAAGCCUGAUGCAGCGACGCCGCGUGAGGGAUGGAGGCCUUCGGGUUGUGGACCUCUUUCGCCAGUGAAGCAGGCCUGCCUCGUUUGUGGGUGGGUUGACGGUAGCUGGAUAAGAAGCGCCGGCUAACUACGUG
rnacentral:rRNA from 1 species